CGGCUCUUUCUAGAUGCCAUGAAGAGAAAGAUUGCCAAGGGAGCUCCUGAGUGUAGACCACCCUUCCUCAACUCUGCCUGAAGCCACUUUCAUGAUCUCCAUGCCCCACAGGGAACUGGGAGGAAGCAGAUUUUGAGGAGAGAGAAGGCUACAGGAGGCCCUGAGCAGUAGAUGAAGAAGCUCUCAGCCUCAAGUCUGAACAAGAGAUGGAACCCAAUGGCGGCAGCGGCGGUGGCGGCAGCUUGACAGCCAGGGCUCACACCUGCUGGUGGUGAUGCUCUACCACAGUGGUGCUGAGGAGAUGAAGCGGCUUCCUUACAGAGGCUUCCAGUCAAAAGCAAGCACUGCACCAUGGAUGCCAGAGUCCUCCAGAAGAUGAACCCCAGUGAGCCAAGGACACAAAGGACUUCAGGGCAGCGGAUCCUCUUGAGCACUGACACCUCCCCCCCCCACACAGCCGUCACUGGUGGCGUCAUCCUGGCUCUCCUCACAUCAGCUGCUCAAUGACCCUCUGCACAGUGGCAUGCCCC
rnacentral:lncRNA from 1 species